rfam:Gossypium arboreum cultivar AKA8401 contig_127919_1, whole genome shotgun sequence.
AACCCAUGGUGAGGGAAUCUUCGCAAAAAGUCAUUGUAUAUUUCCCAUGCAUCAUAGAGUGCUUCUAAAUCCAUCUGCGCAAAAGAGGAUAUAUCAUUUCGUAAUUU